rnacentral:misc_RNA from 2 species
AACGCACAUUGCGCCCCCUGGUAUUCCGGGGGGCAUGCCUGUCCGAGCGUCAUUGCUGCCCUCAAGCCCGGCUUGUGUGUUGGGCCCCUGUCCCCGUGGACGGGCCCGAAAGGCAGCGGCGGCACCGCGUCUGGUCCUCGAGCGUAUGGGGCUUUGUCACCCGCUCUGGAGGCCGGGCCGGUGCCUGCCGACCAACCUUGUAUUUUCUCCAGGUUGACCUCGGAUCAGGUAGGGAUACCCGCUGAACUUAA